rnacentral:rRNA from 1 species
GGAAUAUUGGGCAAUGGGCGAAAGCCUGACCCAGCGACGCCGCGUGAGGGAAGACGGUCUUCGGAUUGUAAACCUCUUUCAGCAGGGAAGAAGAAAGUGACGGUACCUGCAGAAGAAGUCACGGCUAACUACGUGCCAGCAGCCGCGGUAAUACGUAGGUGGCGAGCGUUAUCCGGAAUUACUGGGUGUAAAGGGUGUGUAGGCGGGUCGGCAAGUCAGACGUGAAAAUCAAAGGCUCAACCUUUGACUUGCGUUUGAAACUGUCGAUCUUGAGGAUGGGAGAGGUAAACGGAAUUCCUAGUGUAGUAGUGAAAUGCGUAGAUAUUAGGAGGAACACCGGUGGCGAAGGCGGUUUACUGGACCAUAACUGACGCUGAGACACGAAAGCGUGGGGAGCAAACA